rnacentral:lncRNA from 1 species
CGGCUUUGUCUUUACACCGCAGGGGGUUGAGGACUCCGGUACUUCAAGGUCCCCGCAGCGCAGCUGAGGGAGGGGCCUGGGCUCAGAGUGGCCUGGGAUCGGAGACAGAUCCCUUGCAGGUGUGUCGAAGGCCUCUGUGGGCGGGUCGGGAGCGGGAAAGCUGGACUUUGCGACAGCCGGGUCAAAAUCUGGAGGCCGCGGCCUGCGCCGAGAGCCUAGAGGGCCUGCGGGAGGGACUUGGCAGGGAAGCCCGCCUUUUGCACAGCCGACCUUCUUCAGAAGUUGUUGUCGCGACCUGAGGGGCAACCCAGGAGGGCCCACUCUGCGGGGAAAGCAGGCCGGGCCGCCCAGAGGGAGCGGCUCUGUGUGACGUGGAGCUUGACCCGCUGCGUCCAAGUGCGUCUUCGACGCUGGCUGUAGCCAGUCUUGGCGCAGAUCCAGUGUGUGCGGCUGGAUGGGCGAGCUGAUCUCAGGGUGAUUCAAUCAUCUGUAAAAUGAUGAUGAAAGCACCCUUGAGGGUCGUUUGCUGUCCUGAAUAAGGCAGUAGAUGUAAAUAAUAAGGAAUUAAUAAAGGUGAGCUGCUUUUAUUACAAGGCAUGCUGUUGUUUUCAUUAUUGGCUCCUUUAAUCGUUGUCAGUAACCACCUCCGUUUAAUAAAUUAUAGUAUUACAGGUUCAGAGAUAUAAAUUGGUUUACUCGGAAUUAGGUAGGAUUUAAACUCUCACUGUUUUUACUCUGUAGUUAAUGCUCUUUCCUACAUUAAAAUCCAGUCUUAGUUUGUAUUUAAGCAAGCAGUUGUACUUAAG